UAAUACUCCAUUGUUCUUGAUUUGUUUUUUUUUGGUUUAAGGUUUGAUCGCUCAUUAACAUCUAAAGCAUACUUUGGUUAGUUUCAAUAUUUGGGUAACGCGACAAAAGUAUGGAACACCAUACAACUUUCAACAUUUAGAACCGAAUGAAAAACAAAUCAAGAACAAUGGAGUAUUAAAAAUUUUGUUCCUUGAUUCUAAAGGGGAAAAAAAAAAUUAUAUACUCGUGAGAAAACAAGAGAAUUUGAAUCCACUGUAAUGUGGGAAACUAAUCCCAGGCGCUUGCCACACCCGGACCAUAUCCCCCUCCGUAACCGCCAGGAACCCCAUAUCCACCACUGCUAUUCCCUCCACCAUAAUAGUCCAUGCCUCUAUUAAAAGAGCCCUCCCUUCUAAAGUCACGGCCACCAAAUCGGCCACCCCCA
rnacentral:misc_RNA from 1 species